GACGGUGAGGGGUGAAAGCGUGGGUAGCAAACAGGAUUAGAUACCCUGGUAGUCCACGCCGUAAACGAUGAUAACUAGCCGUUGGGCAGAUUUAACUGUUCAGUGGCACAGCUAACGCAUUAAGUUAUCCGCCUGGGGAGUACGGCCGCAAGGCUAAAACUCAAAUGAAUUGACGGGGGCCCGCACAAGUGGUGGAGCAUGUGGUUUAAUUCGAUGCAACGCGAAGAACCUUACCAACCUUUGAAAUCCAGAGAAGUCACCAGAGAUGGAGAUGUGCCUUCGGGAACUCUGUGACAGGUGUUGCAUGGCUGUCGUCAGCUCGUGUCGUGAGAUGUAUGGUUAAGUCCAGUAACGAGCGCAACCCCUAUCCUUAUUUGCCAGCGCGUAAUGGCGGGAACUAUAGGGAGACUGCCGGUCAAAAACCGGAGGAAGGCGGGGACGAGGUCAAGUCAUCAUGGCCCUUAUAGGUUGGGCUACACACGUGCUACAAUGGGAUGUACAGAGGGUUGCGAAAGCGCGAGCUGGAGCCAAACCCUUAAAGCAUUUCGUAGUCCGGAUUGGAGUCUGCAACUCGACUCCAUGAAGUCGGAAUCACUAGUAAUCGCGAAUCAGAAUGUCGCGGUGAAUACGUUCUCGGGCCUUGCACACACCGCCCGUAAGGGCGAAUUCGU
rnacentral:rRNA from 1 species